CAGUCGCCGCGGUAAUACGGAGGGUGCAAGCGUUAUCCGGAUUCACUGGGUUUAAAGGGUGCGUAGGUGGGCAGGUAAGUCAGUGGUGAAAUCUCCGGGCUUAACCCGGAAACUGCCGUUGAUACUAUCUGUCUUGAAUAUAGUGGAGGUGAGCGGAAUAUGUCAUGUAGCGGUGAAAUGCUUAGAUAUGACAUAGAACACCAAUUGCGAAGGCAGCUCGCUACACUAUCAUUGACACUGAGGCACGAAAGCGUGGGGAUCAAACAGGAUUAGAUACCCCCGUAGUCCCUGUCUCUUAUAA
rnacentral:rRNA from 1 species